GACGAACGCUGGCGGCGUGCUUAACACAUGCAAGUCGAACGGAAAGGCCCUGCUUUUGUGGGGUGCUCGAGUGGCGAACGGGUGUGUAACACGUGAGUAACCUGUCCUUGACUUUGGGAUAACUUCAGGAAACUUGGGCUAAUACCGGAUAGGAGCUCCUGCUGCAUGGUGGGGGUUGGAAAGUUUCGGCGGUUGGGGAUGGACUCGCGGCUUAUCAGCUUGUUGGGGGGGUAGUGGCUUACGAAGGCUUUGACGGGUAGCCGGCCUGAGAGGGUGACCGGCCCCAUUGGGACUGAGAUACGGCCCAGACUCCUACGGGAGGCAGCAGUGGGGAAUAUUGCACAAUGGGCGGAAGCCUGAUGCAGCAACGCCGCGUGCGGGAUGACGGCCUUCGGGUUGUAAACCGCUUUCGCCUGUGACGAAGCGUGAGUGACGGUAAUGGGUAAAGAAGCACCGGCUAACUACGUG
rnacentral:rRNA from 1 species